GGCGAGAUGGCCGAGCGGUCUAAGGCGCUGGUUGAAGGCACCAGUCCCUUCGGGGGCGUGGGUUCGAAUCCCACUCUCGUCA
rnacentral:tRNA from 1 species